AUGAAUUUUUCACGUUGGCAAUGGUCUGGUCACCAACGUUCUGCUACCACCGAAGGUAUGGCUGCAGAAUCCCUCCCAUUGAGGAUGAUUUCGACCUACACGGAUUUUGGCCUUCCACAGUUCUUAAUCCUCAGCCAGAAUUUUGCCGAAUCUCAAAUUCUUAUGGGUUCUAUUUGGAGUCUGGUCGGGUUAAGAUUCACCCGGAUGUCUGAAAACAACUGA